CUCAUCAUCGAAAAGAAAACAUAGACAAAACAGAUUUAUUUCAAUGACAUAUCUAAUCAGACUGAAAUUAAUGUCGAAGACACGAUCAUUCACAUCAAUUGAAGCAGGCAGGAAGGGCACGGAAGCUACCGUUUAACGAAUGCAACGCAAGCAAGGUAG
rnacentral:rRNA from 1 species